GGCUGGUCCGACGGCAGUGGGUUAUCAGAACUUACUAACAUUAGUGUCACCAAAGUUGGUAUACCACCCCCCACUGCUAAAAAAAAACAUUUAGGAUCCUGCUAAAACAUUAGGGUUCGGUUUUGUUUUGUUUUCUUAGGGUCUCGCUGUUGCAGCUCAGGCUGGCCUUGA
rnacentral:Y_RNA from 1 species